GCAAGUCGAACGGCAGCGCGGGAGAGCUUGCUCUCCUGGCGGCGAGUGGCGGACGGGUGAGUAACGCGUGGGAAUCUGCCCGGUUGUGGGGGAUAACCCGAGGAAACUCGGGCUAAUACCGCAUAAGCCCUGAGGGGGAAAGGUGGGGAUCUCUUCGGAGACCUGCCGCGACCGGAUGAGCCCGCGUCCGAUUAGCUUGUUGGUGAGGUAAUGGCUCACCAAGGCGACGAUCGGUAGCUGGUCUGAGAGGAUGAUC
rnacentral:rRNA from 1 species